GUUCGAUCAUGGCUCAGAUUGAACGCUGGCAGGAUGCUUUUACACAUGCAAGUCGAACGGCAGCACGGACUUCGGUCUGGUGGCGAGUGGCGAACGGGUGAGUAAUGUAUCGGAACGAUGCCUAAGUAGCGGGGGAUGCUUCGCAGCGUAGCUAAUACCACGCCCUUCGGGGGAAAGCGGGGGACCUUCGGGCCUCGCACUAUUAGAAGCGGCCGAUAUCGGAUUAGCUAGUUGGUGGGGUAACGGCUCACCAGGCGAUCCGUAGCUGGUUUGAGAGGACGACCAGCCACACUGGGACUCAGAACACGGCCCAAUCACGGAGCAGCAGUGGGGAAUUUUGGACAAUGGGGGAAACCCUGAUCCAGCCAUCCCGCGUGUGCGAUGAAGACCUUCAGGUUGUAAAGCACUUUGGCAGGAGGGGAAGAAACGGCACGGGAUAAUACCCCGUGCAACUGGCGAAUACCUGCAGAAUAAGCUACCGGCUAACUACGUGCCAACCGCGGUAAUACGUAGGUGCAAGCGUUAAUCAGGCCACUGGCGUAAAGCGUGCGCAGUGGUUCGGAAAGAAAGAUGUGAAAUCAGAGCUUAACUUUGGAACUGCAUUUUUAACUACCGAGCUAGAGUGUGUCAGGAGGUGGAAUUCCGCGUGUAGCAGUGAAAUGCGUAGAUAUGCGGAGGAACACCGAUGGCGAAGGCAGCCUCCUGGGAUAACACUGACACGCUCAUGCACGAAAAGCGUGGGGAGCAAACAGAGUUAGAUACCCUGGUAGUCCACGCCCUAAACGAUGUCAACUAGCUGUUGGGCCUUCGGGCCUUGGUAGCAACUAACGUGAAGUUGACCGCCUGGGAAUUACGGUCGCAAGAUUAAAACUCAAAAGGAAUUGACGGGGACCCGCACAAGCGGUGGAUGAUGUGGAUUAAUUCGAUGCAGCGCGAAAAACCUUACCCUUGACAUGUGCAGGAUCCCGAAGAGAUUUGGGAGUGCUCGCAAGAGAACCGGAACACAGGUGCUGCAUGGCUGUCGUCAGCUCGUGUCGUGAGAUGUUGGGUUAAGUCCCGCAACGAGCGCAACCCUUGUAGUUGCUACGAAAGGACACUCUAAUGGACUGCCGGUGACAAACCGGAGAAGGUGAGGAUGACGUCAGUCCUCAUGGCCCUUAUGGGUAGGGCUUCACACGUCAUGCAAUGGUCGGGACAGAGGGUCGCCCGCGCGAGGGGGAGCCAAUCCCAGAAACCCACCCGAUCGUAGUCCGGAUCGCAGUCUGCAACUCUACGACUGCGUGAAGUCAGGAAUCGCUAGUAAUCGCGGAUCAGCAUGUCGCGGUGAAUACGUUCCAGGUCUUGUACACACCGCCCGUCACACCAUGGGAGUGGGUUUUACCAGAAGUAGUUAGCCUAACCGUAAGGAGGCGAUUACCACGGUAGGAUUCAUGAUGACUGGGGUGAAGUCGUAACAAGGUAG
rnacentral:rRNA from 1 species